rnacentral:ribozyme from 1 species
AAAGGGGGGAAGGGGCUUCGAUUUUCACCUUUAACUGUUUUUUGGCUUUUUUGUUUGGCUUUCCUUUUUUGUUUGUUUAGUUUUUCCUU